CGGGGUGCAGCAGGCGCGAAACCUUCGCAAUGCGCGAAAGCGCGACGAGGUUAUUCCGAGUGAUUCCCGCUGAGGGAAUCUUUUCCCAGGUCUAAAUAGCCUGGGGAAUAAGGGGAGGGCAAGUCUGGUGUCAGCCGCCGCGGUAAUACCAGCUCCUCGAGUGGUCAGGGUGUUUAUUGGGCCUAAAGCAUCCGUAGCCGGCUCAGUAGGUCUUCUGUUAAAUCCAACGGCUUAACCGUUGGCCUGCAGGAGAUACCGCUGGGCUAGGAGGCGGGAGAGGCGGACGGUACUCCGAGGGUAGGGGUAAAAUCCUUUGAUCCCCGGAAGACCACCAGUGGCGAAGGCGGUCCGCCAGAACGCGCUCGACGGUGAGGGAUGAAAGCUGGGGGAGCGAACCGGAUUAGAUACCCGGGUAGUCCCAGCUGUAAACGAUGCGAGCUAGGUGACACGACGCCUUAGGGGCAUCGUGGUGCCGCAGGGAAGCCGUUAAGCUCGCCGCCUGGGGAGUACGGUCGCAAGACUGAAAAAGGAAUUGGCGGGGGAGCAC
rnacentral:rRNA from 1 species